UGUACUAUGGUCCGGUGGUUAGGAUAUUGGCCCUUGACAGUCAAUGGCCUGGGUUCGAUUCCCAGUGGUUCCC